rnacentral:lncRNA from 1 species
UUGUGAUGAGCGAGCCUAUGCAGAGAAAUGUCACCAAGAAGAUCCUUCCUACAUGAAGCGCUGGACAGUCCUCUUCUCCCCUCCCUUCCCCUGGGAACUGGGGAGGUCAGCAACACCCAGCUCUACCAAAGGCCUUUUGAAACAGAUGGAGCCGAGGCUGUGGCCACCGACCAGCCCUGGCUACAAUCGAGCCUAUUUUAAAUAUACUGGUCUUCUGGAAUUCCUAGUUGUUGGAGAUCUAGCUAAAGAUAGUCAAGAGUUGUGGAAAUACAAUAAACCAAGCCAUCAAAUGGAUACAGCAUAAUGUGGAAGAGUUGGAUGGGACAACAUGAUAUCUUUGACUAAAACUGGGAAUGAAGCAGUUAAGAGCUGUGGUGCUACACAGAAGACAGGUCAAAUAAACUGACUACAAUCUUUCCUGUUUGUUAAAAA